rnacentral:rRNA from 1 species
GACGAACGCUGGCGGCGUGCCUAAUACAUGCAAGUUGAGCGCUGAAGGUUGGUACUUGUACCAACUUGAUGAGCAGCGAACGGGUGAGUAACGCGUGGGGAAUCUGCCUUUGAGCGGGGGACAACAUUUGGAAACGAAUGCUAAUACCGCAUAAAAACUUUAAACACAAGGUUUAAGGUUGAAAGAUGCAAUUGCAUCACUCAAAGAUGAUCCCGCGUUGUAUUAGCUAGUUGGUGAGGUAAAGGCUCACCAAGGCGAUGAUACAUAGCCGACCUGAGAGGGUGGUCGGCCACCUUGGGACUGAGACACGGCACAAACGCCUACGGGAGGCAGCAGUAGGGAAUCUUCGGCAAUGGACGAAAGUCUGACCGAGCAACGCCGCGUGAGUGAAGAAGGUUUUCGGAUCGUAAAACUCUGUUGGUAGAGAAGAACGUUGGUGAGAGUGGAAAGCUCAUCAAGUGACGGUAACUACCCAGAAAGGGACGGCUAACUACGUG